UAAAAGCAGGGGAGGGGACAAAGGAGAACUUGGAACACUUAUGUUAGCAUCUGGUGUAACAACAUAGGAACAUGUAUGAAGUUUGGGGGACCCCACCUGGCUUAGCAUUCAGAGACUACCUCUGGGUUUAACCGGCCUGAUUCUGGAUGAUCAUUCUGGUGGUAUGGGGAAGAUGGUGUGGGGAGGGGGAGAGACAGCCAAAGGUCAACACCCUAUGCCCUUCAGAGUGGUCAGCCUCACAGACCACUCUGAGAGAAUGGGUAGCCAUGUCUGUACUACAUACUGGAGACAUGACUGUGGAAUGGAAGUUUCAAAACUAAGUCAGAGAACCCUCUGAUCCUGCAAACACACAUGCACACACACAGAGACAUCAACCAUCUCUAAUUUGUUGGCACCCACCAGGGAUACCUUGGGCAUCUGAAGUCAGUCUCCAUGUCUGUGGGUCUCGUGUAACCAUAACUACUUGGAGUUUUUUAAAACUGCAUUAUUUCUUUGUUCCUCAGUGUCUGACAAUGCCUGCCAGGAUGGGCACUGAUGAAUAUGGUUGAACGGAACUCCAAGGACCACCCAGGUUGAUAGUAGUGAGGUGAGGGGUUCACAGCACUGGCAGUGGUCCCCAGGGCUUCUUCCCAGCUUGUACGUGGGGUUGGGGGUCCUUUCUUUAGUCUCUCAGUGAUCAGACUGGGCAAACUCUCUGAUAAGCAAGACAGGGCACCUAGGCAGCUUCAGGUGAUGGAAAGAAAAGUCUCUGAGAGGCAGGACACCUCAGCCUCAGCUACCCCGUGAGCAGUGAUUUAACCUCUCUAAGCCUCAGUUUCCCACUUGGAAUAUGUGCCAAGGGAGGUUCGAGUUUUGAGCUCUUCCCAGCUGUAAACUCUGCAUUGGCAGAGACACCGUGGAGACACGCGAAUCAAAUGGUGGGAGGGCAGGAGAUAGCACGCUUCUCUGCUUAGUCCUCCUUCCAUCACCACUGGAAAAUGAGCGUGAACACUGCCCUUGACCCUGCAGUCAUAAGUCAUGCAGGUGGUGGCGGGGUGGGGGUGUAGGGUGAGCCUACCCGCUGCUCUCUUCUUUAGCUUCAGGGCCUUUUCAUUUCCCGGCAGCAACGAGGUGCACUGAGCACUUGUCGGGGCUGUGUUUGGAGCCCAUCAACAGUGCUACCAGCUUUAGUUCCAUCAACCCCAGGCUUUUGUAACAACUGGUUGCAUGAAACCCUCCCUUGUAGUUUGUGUACAGAAGACUGCAAUGAAUUGAAGUCAUGAGACAUACAGCCAGGAUCCUGAAAGCCACCAACAUAUGUCACCUGCCUGGGAGGCUUGCUUCGAUGGUCAUCUUGUUCUGCCUGCUAAGACCAGGAGUCACAGCUGUUGACAUCAUGGUGAAUAAAAACAUUUUCUGCCACAGGU
rnacentral:lncRNA from 1 species